AGGCGCGUAGCUCAGCUUGGUUAGAGCGCCACCUUGACAUGGUGGAGGUCGUUGGUUCGAGUCCAAUCGUGCCUA
rnacentral:tRNA from 1 species